rnacentral:rRNA from 1 species
GCCAAGUCAGGAUACUGCUACUGAGCGUAAGCGCGCGCAGGCGGUUUCUUAGUCUGAUGUGAAAGCCCCCGGCUCACCGGGGAAGUGCAUUGGAAACUGGGGGACUUGAGUGCAGAAGAGGAGAGUGGAAUUCCAUGUGUAGCGGUGAAAUGCGUAGAUAUAUGGAGGAACACCAGUGGCGAAGGCGACUUUCUGGUCUGUAACUGACGCUGAGGCGCGAAAGCGUGGGGAGCAAACAGGAUUAGAUACCCCCCGUAGUCCAA